rnacentral:rRNA from 1 species
ACUCCUACGGGAGGCAGCAGUGGGGAAUUUUUCGCAAUGGGGGAAACCCUGACGAAGCAACGCCGCGUGGAUGAUGAAGUAUCUUGGUACGUAAAAUCCUUUCGACGGGGAAGAAAGCCGCAAGGUUUGACGGUACCCGUAGAAGAAGCCCCGGCUAACUCCGUGCCAGCAGCCGCGGUAAUACGGGGGGGGCAAGCGUUGUUCGGAAUUACUGGGCGUAAAGGGCGCGUAGGCGGUCUGCUAAGUUGGAUGUGAAAACUCUGGGCUUAACCCAGAGCCUGCAUUCAAUACUGACAGGCUAGAGUUCUGGAGGGGAUAGCGGAAUUCCUGGUGUAGCGGUGAAAUGCGUAGAUAUCAGGAGGAACACCGGUGGCGAAGGCGGCUAUCUGGACAGAGUCUGACGCUGAGGCGCGAAAGCUAGGGGAGCAAACAGGAUUAGAUACCCUGGUAGUCCUAGCCCUAAACGAUGGAUACUU